CUACGGAAGGCAGCAGUGAGGAAUAUUGCGCAAUGGGCGAAAGCCUGACGCAGCGACGCCGCGUGGAGGAUGAAGGUCUUCGGAUUGUAAACUUCUGUUAAGUGGGAAGAAAAGAUUGUUUUUAAUAAAAACGAUACAUGACGGUACCACUAGAGAAAGCACCGGCUAAACUCGUGCCAGCAGCCGCGGUAAUACGAGUGGUGCAAGCGUUAUUCGGAAUAAUUGGGCGUACAGGGUGCGUAGACGGUAUGUUAAGUCUGCUGUUAAAUCCUCCGGCUUAACCGGAGAUAUGCGGUGGAAACUGGCGUACUAGAGGGUGGAAGAGAGAAGUGGAAUUCUCGGUGUAGCGGUAAAAUGCGUAGAUAUCGAGAGGAACACCGAUGGCGAAGGCAGCUUCUUGGUCCAUUCCUGACGUUGAGGCACGAAAGCGUGGGGAGCAAACAGGAUUAGAAACCCGAGUAGUCCA
rnacentral:rRNA from 1 species